UGCUGGGAGAAAGAAGCUGAGUCAGAGAGUCGCCAUGAUUCUCCCACUCCAGGCAGAUGCAGGUUAAGAUCUUUCCUGGUCCCAAAAGCUCAAUUACAGGACGAUCUCUAAGAAACCUCAGACACACUCACAUUUCAGCGAAAACGCUGGGGAUUGGCGAGUUCAAGUGUUUCAGCCUAAUACGAGAUGGCCCUCACCCAACUGCCUGCCACCAGUCGCCAGUGCCUUUCUGGGCAUGACUGCUGCCAGCUUCCUCAAGGGAAAGGCAUGCCUGAACAGUCUUCCGUCAACAGGGGAUCCAAGGAGAACUCAGAGGAAGUUACUCCCUCUGGUGGUGACCACGGAACAGCACAGGCCAACCUCAAAUACCUCUCUCUACUGGGUUAAUUACGACUGCGGUGGGAAUUUCAUGCCUCGCCAGUCAAGAUGCGCAACAGAGGAAAAGUACUGGGCCUUCCCGAGCUGGUCAGGGUCCAGUUUCUCCCUCCGAGUUAACCAGGUCUGACUGCCCAUCCUCUGAGAUGAGCCAGGGCGCUGUGGUCGCCGACGGGCGCAGUCUCCCCGCUCCUUUCAGAAGCUCAGUGACAGGUAUCGACUCUCCGGAGCUCCACGGCCGCCAACUAGGCAGUUUAUGUAAGCUGCGGAGGCAUUCUUUUAUGAAGGUGAACUUCAAAAGAAAACCAAACAAGAACGCCUUAAUAAACACCUGUUUUCUG